GUGGUUCGCGUCAACGCAUGUGGAAAUGAGAGGAAGGAAGCUCCCGAAAAUAUCUCUUGCUCGAUAUAAACGGGCCGGGUCAGGCGCGAACCUAAAACUUUCGGAAGAGAAUAUCUGCAGCUUGAUCAGUUCCAAAACUGAGAUAUAUCUGCAGCUUGAUCAGUUCCAAAACUUUAGCUGGGCACGCACUACCGGCAGCAGUUCAAGGACAAACCAAUUUGAAGGCGGCUAGCGCCAGCACAGGCAUGCCGAUCUCGCAUGAGCUGGGCGAGCCUGACGAAAGCUUCUACAAUCUAUGGAAGGAAGAGUGUGAAGAACUGUGGGAGGAAGAGGACGAACUGUGGGGGGACGAAGAUGUUGAGGAGGAGCUGUCGCUGCGUCACCCUGGAUUCAACAAGUGGACCGUCCAGCAGGGUGCUGCAGGCGGGGACCAUAUUCGCGCCAAGGACAAGAACUUUUACUGCUUUGAGGUCCAAGUUCACUUCACUGGAGAACUAGUUGACGGUACGCAGUUCGUGUCAAGCCGAGAAAAUGACAUUCCAGAGAGGUUUAUACUGGGGCAAGAGGAUGUGAUGCAUGGUUUCAACUUAGCUGUCAGUUCGAUGCAACCAGGGGAGAAAGCUAUAUUCACUAUCCCUUCAGCGUUAACCAUGACAAAAGCUGGCUCCCCUGCUAGCAUCCCGUCAAACAUACCUCCCAACCAAACACUACGGUUUGAGAUUGAGCUCAUCGCCAUGUUUACUAUAAUUGACAUUUUCAAAGAUGAAGGCAUAUUGAAAAAGAUUGUCAAGAACGCAGAACCCGACAGAAAACAAUCUCACUCAAGUGAUUUUGUAUUUGUGAAAUACGACGCAUGCCUGAUGGAUGGAACUUCAGUGUCCAAAUCUGAAGGUGUUGAAUUCAGCCUUACCGACGGCUUCUUCUGUCCUGCAUUUGCACAUGCUGUGCAUACUAUGAAAGAAGGAGAGGAAGCAGUACUAAUUGUGAAACCAAAAUAUGCUUUCGGUGAACAAGGAAGACCUUCUCAAGGAGAGGAAGCUGCUGUGCCCCCAGAUGCAACUCUUUAUGUGCACCUCCUAUUUGUGUGCUGGAUACGGCGAAUUGGGGAAGACCAAGCAAUUGCCAAGAAAACUCUAAGGAUAGGGAACUCACAGAGGAUACACACACAAAGUCAAGCUGUGGUGAAAGUGCGGUUGCUCGGCAAACUUCAAGAUGGAACUGUUUUUGAUCGUAGAGGUUACGGCGACGAUGAACCGUUCGAGUUCGUGGUAGAUGAAGGUCAAGUUAUUGAUGGCCUGGAUGAAUCUGUAAUGACAAUGGAGGAGGGAGAAGUUGCCGAGUUCACUAUUCCACCCCAGCACGCAUUUGAUGCCGUUGGGUCAGAUCAGCAUCAGUUUGCCUUUGUGCCGCGCAAUGCAACCGUCGUCUACAAGAUCGAGCUCUUGUCCGUCGUUAAUGUACGUUAUUAUGUUCGUAUUACUGGAGAAACAUCCGUUGUACAUUCCGAGCCGUGAUGAAAUUGUUGAAUAUGCAAGUAGGAAGGAAGAGGAAGGGGACAUAUACUUUAACUUGGGUAAACAUUUGAGAGCUCACAGGAGAUAUUUCAAGGCCAGACAAAUCAUUGAAUAUUCACGCUUCGGGGUAAGGAGAGGGAAAAUUAAUUUAAUAAAACUGCUGUCCAUCCCAACAUCAGAAAUUGAUGCACAGCUGGAAGAAAUGUGGAUUUCCUGCACUUUUAAAGCGGCUAAGUGCGCAAUCCAGCUAGGGUGCUACAUGCAAGCAUCGUGCUAUUACAGCGAGGUGCUGAACUACGAUGUGGCUAAUGUGCAAGCCCAGCAGCAGCAAACGUUGUUGCAGGAAUUUCCUGAUGGUUCCUCAAGAGACCCGGACGCAAUGCAGCGAGGCUUUGAGCAAUUCCCACCAGAGUACGAGUCAGAAUUGCAGCUCAAUGCAACUUUCACUCCUGCAGCUUUUUCACCGAGACGGAAAGGUGAGCAUCCGUAUCGUGGCGAAAUUAUUGGCUUCCCUGAUGUUCAGGCAAACAGCAGCCAGCCUGCUUCUACUCCUAGUACUGCUCCCAGUACUCCCAACCCUGCUACACCACAGACGAACGCCCUCGCUACUGGCACUAGUGGCACCCCGAGCGGCAGCGCUGCUCAAAGCUCAGGAACAAUCAACACGAACCGCGGGUUUCUAUUCAGAUGCUUCGGGCCAUCGCCCACGAGCUGAAGGAUCCAUCAAGCUUAUAUCGUCUCAAUCGUUGUCGCCGCCGCAGCUAAUUACUACUUAGUAAUAUCAUAUCAUACUUGGAAUUGCAGUAUGCUGGUAAUGUCUACAUUUUCAAAUGGAUCCACAUUAAAUAAAAGUUGUGAUUGAUUUUGUACUGCCACAA